AGCGUAGGCGGACUUUUAAGUGAGAUGUGAAAUACUCGGGCUCAACUUGAGUGCUGCAUUUCAAACUGGAAGUCUAGAGUGCAGGAGAGGAAAGUGGAAUUCCUAGUGUAGCGGUGAAAUGCGUAGAUAUUAGGAGGAACACCAGUGGCGAAGGCGACUUUCUGGACUGUAACUGACGCUGAGGCGCGAAAGCGUGGGGAGCAAACAGGAUUAGAUACCCCAGUA
rnacentral:rRNA from 1 species